CCACAUCAAUGUCAUAGAGCUUCUUCACAGCCUGUUUAAUCUGGUGCUUGUUGGCUUUAACAUCCACAAUGAACACAAGUGUGUUGUUGUCUUCUAUCUUCUUCAUGGCAGACUCGGUGGUCAGCGGAAACUUGAUGAUAGCAUAGUGGUCAAGCCUGGGAGAGGCAAAAUGGGGUCACCUGGCCUGGGCCCACUCUUUUGGAGCCCAGAGCCAGGAGAGCCUAGGUGCAUCAGACAACGAGGUACCAAUCACUUUGUUCAGACUUUGGUCGCUUUACAGUGUCAUCAUCUGCACCCUGAAAUCUAAGGGCCUGAAGCCCCAAUCCCAGGGGCAGAACAUUGUGCAUUUUCUUUCUCUUGAAGGGCUCUUACACCUCAAGUGAUUAAAGAAUCAUCUCUGGGCCAGGCGUGGUGGCUCAUGGCUGUAAUCCCAGCACUUUGGGAGGCUGAGGCAGGCUAAUCACGAGUGGCUUAAGCACAACUGUAACACAGCUUUCCCCACUUAAAGUCACACUCGAUUCUAGGUCCAGCUUGGUGGGGGAAGGGGCAAGAAGACAGUCUGUGAACUGCUUUCCUGUAUGAACACAGUCCACUCUUUCCAUGAGGAAAGAGUAGAAACAGCAAAAACCCAUUGGUACUAACUACUACCAUGGCUCUACUCAAAUCUGUGCUCCCUAAAAAGUCAGUUAUUACUGGUAGCUCAAGUACUCAAGGGCCCAACCUUCUGCCCAUUUCCCCCCAACCGUUCCUUGAGCAGUACGAAAAUUGGGGAAAAUGAAUGGAAAGAAGCUUCUAUACACCGCAGCAGGCCAUAACUGCCAAAUACAGAUAAUGGAAUCCCCAUUAUCAAUCAAGAAUCAAUCCACGUUUUCACCCUCAAGGAUUGUUCCCUAUAGCA
rnacentral:antisense_RNA from 1 species